rnacentral:rRNA from 1 species
UACGUAGGUGGCAAGCGUUGUCCGGAUUUACUGGGCGUAAAGAGCGCGCAGGCGGCUGGUCAAGUCCGAUGUGAAAUCUCCCGGCUCAACUGGGAAACUGCAUCGGAAACUGAUCGGCUUGAAGGUGGGAGAGGGUAGUGGAAUUCCCGGUGUAGUGGUGAAAUGCGUAGAUAUCGGGAGGAACACCAGUGGCGAAGGCGACUACCUGGCCCGAUUCUUGACGCUGAGGCGCGAAAGCUAGGGGGAGCGAACGGG